rnacentral:sRNA from 1 species
UGAUAGUUUUGAUGUUCAGUGCUGCAC